rnacentral:rRNA from 1 species
CAUGCAAGUCGAGCGAGGUUCUUCGGAACCUAGCGGCGGACGGGUGAGUAACACGUGGGUAACCUGCCUGUAAGACCGGGAUAACUUCGGGAAACCGAAGCUAAUACCGGAUACUUUCGAGCAUCGCAUGAUGCUUGAUGGAAAGACGGCUUCGGCUGUCACUUACAGAUGGACCCGCGUCGCAUUAGCUAGUUGGUGAGGUAACGGCUCACCAAGGCGACGAUGCGUAGCCGACCUGAGAGGGUGAUCGGCCACACUGGGACUGAGACACGGCCCAGACUCCUACGGGAGGCAGCAGUAGGGAAUCUUCGGCAAUGGGCGAAAGCCUGACCGAGCAACGCCGCGUGAGCGAUGAAGGCCUUCGGGUCGUAAAGCUCUGUUGUUAAGGAAGAACAAGUACGAGAGUAACUGCUCGUACCUUGACGGUACUUAACGAGAAAGCCACGGCUAACUACGUGCCAGCAGCCGCGGUAAUACGUAGGUGGCGAGCGUUAUCCGGAAUUAUUGGGCGUAAAGCGCGCGCAGGCGGUUUCUUAAGUCUGAUGUGAAAGCCCACGGCUCAACCGUGGAGGGUCAUUGGAAACUGGGAAACUUGAGUGCAGAAGAGGAAAGCGGAAUUCCACGUGUAGCGGUGAAAUGCGUAGAGAUGUGGAGGAACACCAGUGGCGAAGGCGGCUUUCUGGUCUGUAACUACGCUAGG